rnacentral:lncRNA from 1 species
GGGACCUCCCUCACCUGGAAGGAGAAAUGUGUGAGCAAACCUCCUAGCUAUAGCAUGGGGUCAGCUUUUUGCAGAGGGAGAAGGGCGGGCAGAGUUUCUGGUGUUGUUUCUGGGAGACCAAAAAAGAGACUUCUUUUCCUAAAUAUAUCUCUGUAAAUGAGAGUCAAUGCUUGAGAUUCAUUUAUGGGCGACAGAAUCUUCCAGUGCCAUCUGAAGACUGCAGUUUACGGGCAGCUCUGACAUUCACCAGCUACGUGACCACGGAUGUCGUGUAACCUGGGCUGACUUUCUGUAAAGCGGACAGCGCCCCAUCUGCCAGACCUCAGAUCUCACUGCAUCAUCACCAGGACCCAACCAGGUGACAGCAGGAAAGUGCUUUUAAACUGUGCUAGGAACAGAGCAGUGAAGAACACAGAUGUGUCCUUGUCCUCAUGAAGCUUGCAGUCUGCUGGGGAGUACAGUCACUGAACAGAUACUCUCCAAACUUGUGGUGGAAUUAGCAGUCAUUCAGUUUCUCUUGUCACUCCGUCCAGCCUUUGAAGGACAACCCGGAAGGAGACUCAGAGGCUGGCUCUCUGAAGGGGUGGAGACACUCAUCUGUGGUCCCUGCGGUCAGCCUUCAGCAGUUUGAGUUGGGAGAGCUUUUUCGUUUCUGUAGAACUUGAAGGCUGCCGUUUGAAAUGGCACUGGAUCAAGUGUUCAUUGGCCACCACCUACUUCCGACAUGGAACACAACUGCUCGUCCAGUUGCAAGCACAGAAUGAAGGUGAAUCAGCUCAUGGAUGGCCUUCAGAAAUUCUGAGCUUGGUUUUAGACAUUGUAACAUAUAUUAAGACCAACAGGGCAAAAGAGGUCCUUUAAGUGUGAAAUUAAAGUAUUAUCCAAGGAUAGUCGUGUCUGUGGGAUCAAUAGUCUCCUGUUGUUUGUCCUGUCGUUUUCAAAGUGUGGGAACUUAUU